AUGAAGCCGGAAUUGCUAGUAAUGGCAGGUCAGCAUACUGCCGUGAAUACGUUCCCGGGCCUUGUACACACCGCCCGUCACACCAUGAGAGUUGGGAAUACCCGAAGCCUGUGAGCCAACAGUAACUGAGGCAGCAGUCGAAGGUAGAAUCAAUGAUUGGGGUGAAGUCGUAACAAGGUAGC
rnacentral:rRNA from 1 species